AUGCAUCUUGUUCAUCGUGAUCGUAAUUAUAUAUAUAAUUUUGGGCCUCGCAAAGGAAAAAGUAUCGCUCAAGCUUGGGGGAGGCUUAAGUCAAUGUUAUAUUCAUGCCCCAAUCAUGAGCUCUCAAGAGAAAUGAUUAUUCAAAAAAAUUAUGCUCGGCUUUCUCUCAAUGAUCGCAUCAUGCUCGAUACUUCUUGUGAUGGUUCUUAUAUGCUGAAGACUAUUGAAUUCAAGUGGGACUUAUUGGAAAGAAUUAAAUGCAACUCUGAAGAUUGGGGUUCCGACGAUGGUAAGGAGUCAGGUAUGACACCUACGUUUGAUUGUGUUAAGUCUUUUAUGGAUACAAUGCUUUUCGUGGAUCUAGCACUAAAUAUGGACUUGACUCUGAGAUAG
rnacentral:rRNA from 1 species